CGUCGCCAGCGGGGCCCGCUCGGGCGUUCCGGGGAGCGAACCCCCGCCCGGGAAUGGGUAGAUUACCCUCAGUCCUUGUUCUAGUCCUCGAGUGGUGGGUGCGCAGCGAUGACUCCGCCUCCUGCUUCGGCAGUUGUGGGAUAGGGGGUGGUCCCAUUCCUGCCAGCUCAGGUGGGCUUAGCGGUACCUGCAUUUGCACGAUGGGUCCUAUACCAGCGGUAGGCCGGCUGUGUCUGGUGCUGUGUGACUGCUCACUUCGUGCAGGGUUGGCGUUUGCGUCCAGCGUUCGCCUUAGCUCGUCGAAACGUGUCAUCAGCGUGGCCACUUGGUUUUGGGCCUCCGCCUUCUCCUUGCGUUCCUGCUCGCGCUCUCUGUUUGCUUUGUGGAGGUCUGCCAGCGCCAGUUCAUACAAGGCGGCGAGGUCCUGACCUGGGGGACGGCUGCUGCUUGGAUUUGUUUCACCGCCUGGGUUGACCGGGGUGUUGAAUAGUGCGCGGUUGAUGCUUACCGCUGGGCGGACGGGUUGGGGAACGGCGGACUGGUCUGCCUGCUCCCCGAUAUUUCCCCCGCUACCGUUAGUCAUGGUAACUGUGAUGGGAUGACCUUCUGUUCAAGGAUUCCCACAGACGGCGCCAAUGUUAAUGUCUAAAAGUCUAGCGGUAGCUGGACCUUAGUUAACGCUGAUCCGGCAGGCGGAUCGAUACCUUUGUUGUGAGUGGUUCCCGUUACCUGUCAAAUAAAAUACAAUGGGCGUCAGAGGGAGACCGCGCCGGGCGGUCUUCAACUCUCCGAUGCCUAAGUUAGUCAAUGUAUUUAUGUUGACAAAGUAAUAGUAGGUAAGUAUUGAAUGCGUCAUUAAUGAGGAGAGAGGAGAGAACCUUUUAUAGGUGAGGAAGAGGAUGAUCUUCUCUUUGUUUUCGAUGUGGGACUGAUGGUGCUUCAGUUCCCAGUUUCAGUAGCUUCUGAUGCCAUCUUGACACGGCGCGUGGCGGCGCGUCGGCGGUGCUUUGGGGUUGAUCCGGGGCUCAGGCGGUAACCCGGCUAACUGUCUUUACGC
rnacentral:lncRNA from 1 species